rnacentral:rRNA from 1 species
UUACCUUAAAGAACCUGCCUUUGUAGUGCUCACACAGAUUGUCUGAUGAAAAGCCAUCAGAUGUGCCCAGAUGGGAUUAGCUAGUAGGUGGGGUAACGGCUCACCUAGGCGACGAUCCCUAGCUGGUCUGAGAGGAUGACCAGCCACACUGGAACUGAGACACGGUCCAGACUCCUACGGGAGGCAGCAGUGGGGAAUAUUGCACAAUGGGCGCAAGCCUGAUGCAGCCAUGCCGCGUGUGUGAAGAAGGCCUUCGGGUUGUAAAGCACUUUCAGCGGGGAGGAAGGCGUUAAGGUUAAUAACCUUGGCGAUUGACGUUACCCGCAGAAGAAGCACCGGCUAACUCCGUGCCAGCAGCCGCGGUAAUACGGAGGGUGCAAGCGUUAAUCGGAAUUACUGGGCGUAAAGCGCACGCAGGCGGUCUGUCAAGUCGGAUGUGAAAUCCCCGGGCUCAACCUGGGAACUGCAUUCGAAACUGGCAGGCUAGAGUCUUGUAGAGGGGGGUAGAAUUCCAGGUGUAGCGGUGAAAUGCGUAGAGAUCUGGAGGAAUACCGGUGGCGAAGGCGGCCCCCUGGACAAAGACUGACGCUCAGGUGCGAAAGCGUGGGGAGCAAACAGGAUUAGAUACCCUGGUAGUCCACGCCGUAAACGAUGUCGAUUUGGAGGUUGUGCCCUUGAGGCGUGGCUUCCGGAGCUAACGCGUUAAAUCGACCGCCUGGGGAGUACGGCCGCAAGGUUAAAACUCAAAUGAAUUGACGGGGGCCCGCACAAGCGGUGGAGCAUGUGGUUUAAUUCGAUGCAACGCGAAGAACCUUACCUGGUCUUGACAUCCACAGAACUUUCCAGAGAUGGAUUGGUGCCUUCGGGAACUGUGAGACAGGUGCUGCAUGGCUGUCGUCAGCUCGUGUUGUGAAAUGUUGGGUUAAGUCCCGCAACGAGCGCAACCCUUAUCCUUUGUUGCCAGCGGUCCGGCCGGGAACUCAAAGGAGACUGCCAGUGAUAAACUGGAGGAAGGUGGGGAUGACGUCAAGUCAUCAUGGCCCUUACGACCAGGGCUACACACGUGCUACAAUGGCAUAUACAAAGAGAAGCGACCUCGCGAGAGCAAGCGGACCUCAUAAAGUAUGUCGUAGUCCGGAUUGGAGUCUGCAACUCGACUCCAUGAAGUCGGAAUCGCUAGUAAUCGUAGAUCAGAAUGCUACGGUGAAUACGUUCCCGGGCCUUGUACACACCGCCCGUCACACCAUGGGAGUGGGUUGCAAAAGAAGUAGGUAGCUUAACCUUCGGGAGGGCGCUUACCACUUUGUGAUUCAUGACUGGGGUGAAGUCGUAACAAGGUAACCGUAGGGGAACCUGCGGU